AGAUGCUUUUAGAAAUAUUGCAUCCUUGGACAAUUGGACUGUGUCUAGUCCACAGCAAUGGCAGAGAGACGAUGGAAGGAACUGAGGUGUUUUCGUAUGCACAAUGGCAGAGAUGGAAGCUAAAAGUAUUAAAAUGUGCCAUGAAAUUCUGCACACUGAACAGAUGGGAUACCUUCAUCUUUACCAUGCCUCAUGCAUGGUAAAACUUCUACAACCAGAGGUAACCCUUGAAAUUCAAAAGGUUUACAGUUUACAGAGUAUGCAAAGCUCAACAUGAAAGUUUAUCCUAGGACUUUCCACCCAAAGUCAAACAGCCUUGAAACGAUCACAGAGGAAACAUCAUUCAGCUGUGGAUGUGACACUAACCAUGUGCAUACCUUUGAGAAAACAUUGGCACUACUGAAGAAGGGCUGGUUGGUUGACAUUGUAAUACAGGAUCAAGAAGUCUUGAGAUUGCACGAAGGCUUGAGAAACGGCACAAUCCGAUCCAGCAGGAUGUUUUUAUUUAAACAUCCCACAUUUUCUCCAAAGCUGAGGAUGAAACUUAGCAAAAAGUUUUGUGUUUUUUUUUGAGGAAGAACAGUUAUUUCAUACUGUUUGCCUUGUUUAACAAUUUAUAUAUUUAAAAUAAGUUUAUGUUAUACCUUAAGAACACAAGACUGUACAGAUGCAUAAGAAAGUAUAUAUCAGACGUUAUUUUAACAUCUCAUAUUUCAUUGGAAUGUAUACUGUCAAUGUAGAUUUUCCACUGAAAAGUUAGAGAAUUAUGAAUGUAAUUACGAAUGCUAUUAUGUACAAAUUUAACAAAUGUUUUGCUACAGACAGAGAGGAUAAUUGAAAGAAUAUACAAGGUAACACAGCUGCCUAGGGUUUCCCUGGACAACACAACUUACGUUCUAUGAGCUAACACUGUUAAUGCUGCAAAAGACUGAGGGCUUUCAUAGGUUCCAGGCAGAAAUGGCUUUACAGUCAAACAUUGCUUUGGAGGUCAAAUGUUCAAAUCCACCAUGGUUUUGAUGGCACUACAUCAGUAGGAGUGUAAUCCUGUAUGAAGAGGGUGGUCCGCUGAACAACUGUACUUUAGGCCCAAAGUUUCACAUUUCUCCUAGUAGUAAGAUCAAUAAUAUCACUGACAUUGAAUACUGUAUGUAAACAUUGUUAUUGAAAUACUGAUUUAGAUACAGUACCGGUCAAAAUUUUGGACACAUUACUAGGCCUACUAGUCUCUUAUCAUCAAGACUGCUUAAAGCCAAUUUGAUCAAAAAUACAGAAAGCACAGUAAUAUUGUGUAAUAUUACAAUUAAAAAUAAUAGUUUUCUAAAUUAAUAUACUUUAAAAUAUAAUUGUUUCCAUGAUUAAAGCUGAAUUUUCACCAACCAUUACUCCAGUCUUCACAUGAUCCUUCAGAAAUCAUUCUAUGAUGAUUUGCUGCUAUUAUCAGUAUUGGAAACAGUUGUGCUGCUUAAUAUUAUUAUUUGUUUUGUGUGAUACUUUUUCAGGAUUCAAUGAUCAAUAAAAAGUUAAAAAGAACAGCAUUUAUUCAAAAUAUAAAUCUUUUCUAACAAUGUAAGUGUUAACGGUCACUUUUCCAAAAUUUAACACAUCUUUGCUGAAUAAAGGUAUUACUUUCUUUCAAAAAAAAUAAAGGAAACAUUACUGACCCCAACUUUUGAACGGUAGUGUAUACUGUUACAAAAUAGUUCUGUUUUAAAUAAAUGCUGUAAUUUUUGACUUUUUAUUCAUUAAACGAAUCCUGAAAAAUGUAUCACAGGUUAUAAAACAAAUAUUAAGCAGCACAACAUUUUUCAGCAUUGAUAAUAAAUCAGCAUAUUGAUUUCUGAAGGAUCAUGUGACACUGAAGACUGGAGUAAUGAUGCUGAAAAUUCGGCUAUGAUCACUGGAAUAAAUUACACUUUAAAGUAUAUUAUGUAUUUGUGUGUGUGUGUAUGUGUGUGUAUAUAUAUAUAUAUAUAUAUAUAUAUAUAUAUAUAUAUGUGUGUGUGUGUUAACGUGAGACUCUUAUAAGAAAAAAAAAAUAUCGCCGUUAAUCUAUUCUCAAAGUUGGGUUGGGAGCUGGGUCUAUACUACGCAAGCUAUUGUGGCAGGUAGAGAUCGGUAAGUUCAUCAUUAGGCAUUAGUUUAUUCAUUGGUUGGGGCCGAUAGAGGGGGUUGGAUUAUGUGUAUAUAAACAACAUGCGUGUGUGACUUAGAUGAGCGUCACUUCAUUCAGGUAACGUUAUGCGUUUUAAUGGCUGUAAUGGUGUGUGGAUUUGCUUGCGUUUCGUUAGUAAUUCAUGCUUUUAUUGUAGUCAAUAUAAUGCUGUGUAUGAGCGGAUGACGACUGUAUAUGCUGAGUUAUUUUCCUUGUGUAUCCUGAGCUCCACCGGCUGAGUGAUUAAACCGAAACUAUACUUCGCAUUGCAUCUAUGGAGUAUUAUCUUCACUUCUACUGACUCCCGGGUCCCUGUGCCUGUUAUCUGGUAGGUCUAAUUCAUGUGGGUUUUAUUACGUAAAUGUUUUAUGGUGACUGGUUAACAUGACUAGUUUUCCCCUAUGUUGUAGAGUGAUAGGGGCACGCAGUGACGUCACCGCUGUCUUGUUCCUGGUUGAACAUUCAUGAAUUUCGUGUUAAUACGGUUGUGAACCCGUUGAGUGUGGGAGUGCUUUUUUUGCAUUCAUAUGGUCCAGUUGUGUUUUGAUUUAAUUUGGUUAAUUCUGUUAUUGUGCGUUUGGCAGGCAUUAAGUGUCAGCUGUGUUGCCUGCCUAAAUCUUGUGUUAAUUAUUUUUGUUUGUGUGUGUGUGUGUGUGUGUGUGUGUGUGUGUGUGUGUGUGUGCUAUUCUGUUUUACAGGAGCUGCAGACCUUUUAUGGAGAGCAGGGCUGAAGUCUUUCUUUAGGUGGUGAUGGUGUUUCCUCACAGAGUGCUGUGAUUUGCCGUGUGCACUGGGGCUUUUGGAUUGGUGUGAGUGUGCAGUGUACUUAGAGUAAAGGCCUGUACGGCCGGUCAUGUAGCCCAGGCUGCAGCUCCUCAUUGUUGUCCUUUCUGGACCUUUUGUGUAAUUGUGGUCCCAGUCUCUUUUCAGUGAAUGUGUUUUAAAUUUCUGUUGUUAUUGAAUUCAAAAUAAAUUGUUUUAUUUUUAUACCAGUACCUCUGUCUCCAUUGUCUAUUUUGCCACAGAGUGGGGGACCUGUGUAUAGUAUCUUUAAUAAAUUCCUUGGGUGAGAUUCCCAGGGUGGCGUAGUCAGGCAUUGUUAACCCUUUGGGUCCUUAAUUCGAUUUAAGUUCACUUAAGUCAUACCUUC
ensembl:lncRNA